AGGUCGUGAUGUGGGCAAUUCCUUAACCAGCUCUUAUACCUCUCUUAAGCUUCAUAUAGUGGCUCUCCAGCUUGUUGUUCAAAGUUGGCUAUGGCUUUCUUGAGCUU